rnacentral:lncRNA from 1 species
AAAUUUUAUAAAUUUUUUAGUAUUAAAAAAAGGUUGAUAAGACUAGUUAAAAAAUAACACUCUCUGAAAGAGUGAGACGAGAUAUACAGACAGCAUUGCUCAUUUAAAAAAGUUCAUUAUCAAACCGAUAUGUUGGAUCACAAGAGGUGAUACUGUGAGGCUUUGGCUUUGGACUCCUCUUCAAGACUGCAACCCGGCCUAAUGGACACUUAUGGUAGCGUUUGUCCCCUUAUCCCCCCUUUAUAUUCAAACGCAAAUUUUUUUCCUGAGAAUAGUAGUUCUCGGAUACUUAAAAUAAGCUGGUAUAACUAUUCCCGCCAACACCUUCAUUUUCUAUAUAUAACUAACUACUAUUUUUCUUAUUCUAUAUUAUCUAUCCAAAUACUAUUUUUUUUAUCCUCGGGAACAACCCAAUUUUCAUCCAAACGCUAUUUUUUUUACCCUCAUACUUAUACCUAUUUCUGUAAUAGCUAGUUCUUGCUUAUAUCCGAACCAAACCCUACCUCUGGGAAUUGACAUGGGUUUCUAGAAUUUUGGG